AUGGCGUCGGAGAUCGAGGUCCUCGAGGACACGACCGCCGCCGCGGCCGCGGUCGCCUCCACUGCCGGGGCCGGCGGGGCGGCCGCCGCGGGGGAGGCGGAGGCGGCGGAGGAGUCGCUCAAGGACGACGUCUACACGGGCGCCGCCUACGGGGACCUCGAGAAGCUGCACCGCCUCGUCGAGCUGGAGGGCCGGUCGGUGACGGAGCCCGACGGCCUCGGCUACCACGCGCUCCAGUGGGCCGCCCUCAACAACCGCGUCGCCGCCGCGCAGUACAUCCUCGAGCACGGAGCAGAUGUAAAUGCUAUAGACCAUACAGGGCAAACAGCGCUUCACUGGAGUGCAGUGCGUGGUCAUAUUCAAGUUGCAGAACUACUUCUAAAAGAAGGAGCUAAGGUUGAUGCUGCUGAUUUAUAUGGAUAUCAGACCACACAUGUUGCAGCACAGUAUGGUCAGACAGCAUUUCUUUAUCACAUUAUUUCAAAAUGGAAUGCUGAUCCUGAUGUCCCUGACAAUGAUGGCAGAAGUCCUCUUCACUGGGCUGCUUAUAAGGGAUUUGCAGACUCCAUACGCCUCCUUUUGUUUUUGGGCGCUUAUAGGGGGCGGCAAGAUAAAGAAGGUUGUACUCCUUUACAUUGGGCUGCCAUUCGGGGGAAUAUGGAGUCAUGCACUGUGUUAGUUCAGGUUGGUAAGAAGGAGGACCUUAUGGUGCAAGACAAUACUGGGUUAACUCCGGCCCAACUUGCUGCUGAUAAGAGUCACCGGCAAGUUGCAUUUUACCUUGGGAAUGCUAGAAAAGUGCAUGAAAGAGGAUGUGGUGGGAACAAUUAUUUUGGGAAACUAUCAAAAUUAGGACUCGCCCCUGUGCUUUGGUGUAUUAUUAUUGGCUUAAUUGUUGCAUAUAUACAUUCAGUUAUCGCAGGACAAUACAACUCGAAUAUGACACUACUAUUUGGUUUCUUUUCAUGGUUGGGAGUUUUCCUUGCAAUUGCUGGACUAGUUAUGUUUUAUAGAUGUAGCAGGAAAGAUCCUGGUUACAUCAACAAGAAUAUAAGAGACUCGCAAACUCAAAGAGAUGAUGAACCUUUGUUGAAGAGGGGUCUAGAUAACCCGGAACUUCUGGCUGGCAAUUGGUCUCAACUAUGUAUUACUUGCAAAAUUGUGAGGCCCAUACGCUCAAAACACUGCUCUACAUGUGAUCGCUGUGUUGAGCAAUUUGAUCAUCACUGCCCUUGGGUUUCAAAUUGCAUCGGAAAGAAGAACAAAUGGGAGUUCUUUAUGUUUCUUAUCCUAGAAGUUUCUGCGAUGAUCAUUACUGCUGCAACGGCUGUCAUAAGAGUAGCAGGUGAUCCAGGCUCUCCAGCAUCGUUUGGUGGAUGGCUUAACUAUUCAGCUACGAACCAUCCUUGGGUGGUGUCUUUUGUUAUAAUGGAUCUCUUCCUUUUCUUCGGCGUUAUAACUCUAACAGUAGUUCAAGCAUCACAGAUAUCUGGGAAUAUAACAACAAAUGAGAUGGCAAAUGCCAUGAGGUACAGUUAUCUCAGAGGCCCAGGUGGUCGGUUCAGAAAUCCAUUUGAUCACGGGGUGAGGAAGAAUUGUUCUGACUUCUUCCUGAAGGGGUACAAUGAGGAUAUUGAGAAGGUAGAACAGACGUCGCAUCCUGACGAGGAAAUGGCAAUUAUUCACAUGACAAGAAGUGCAGUCUCGCAGAACGGUGAGAGCGUGCCACUUCAUGCUAAUGGUGCUGACCAUGUUUGUGCUGACUCACAAACCAGCUCAAAAUCGCAUCGCCAAGUUAGUUCGUCUAAAUGCUGCGAUCACAGUAAGAAGACUGACAAAACCCCUUUGGGCCUAGGGUUGGGCCUUGGACGAAACAAUCCCUCUAGCCGUUAUGCACGGAAUCUUCUUCCCUUAUGA
rnacentral:rRNA from 1 species